rnacentral:rRNA from 1 species
GUAGGGAAUAUUGCACAAUGGGGGAAACCCUGAUGCAGCGACGCCGCGUGAGUGAUGAAGGCCUUCGGGUCGUAAAGCUCUGUCGUAUGGGACUAACACAAUGAAGGUACCAUGCAAGAAAGGAUCGGCUAACUUCGUGCCAGCAGCCGCGGUAAGACGAGGGAUCCUAGCGUUGUUCGGAAUCAUUGGGCAUAAAGCGGGUGUAGGCGGAUUUAUAAGUCAGGUGUGAAAUCCCAGGGCUCAACCCUGGAAGUGCACUUGAUACUGUAAAUCUUGAGUGUGGUAGAGGUUACUGGAAUUGUUGGUGUAGUGGUGAAAUACGUAGAUAUCAACAGGAAUACCGGAGGCGAAGGCGAGUAACUGGGCCAACACUGACGCUGAGACCCGAAAGCGUGGGGAUCAAACAGGAUUAGAAACCCUUGUAGUCC